UCGGGUGUGGUGCAGGGUGCACAUUGGCUUCUUGUAAAAGGAAUCCAGGCUUUGUGAGAGCUGAAGAACGGGGUUCGACUCCCCGCAUCCGAA